rnacentral:rRNA from 1 species
UACGUAGGGUGCAAGCGUUGUCCGGAUUUAUUGGGCGUAAAGGGUGCGUAGGCGGCGCGGUAAGUCGGGUGUGAAAUCUCGGGGCUUAACUCCGAAACUGCAUUCGAUACUGCCGUGCUUGAGGACUGGAGAGGAGACUGGAAUUUACGGUGUAGCGGUGAAAUGCGUAGAUAUCGUAAGGAAGACCAGUGGCGAAGGCGGGUCUCUGGACAGUUCCUGACGCUGAGGCACGAAGGUCAGGGGAGCAAACGGG